UACGUAGGGCGCAAGCGUUGUCCGGAAUUAUUGGGCGUAAAGAGCUCGUAGGCGGUUUGUCGCGUCUGCUGUGAAAGCCCGGGGCUCAACCCCGGGUCUGCAGUGGGUACGGGCAGACUAGAGUGUGGUAGGGGAGACUGGAAUUCCUGGUGUAGCGGUGAAAUGCGCAGAUAUCAGGAGGAACACCGGUGGCGAAGGCGGGUCUCUGGGCCAUAACUGACGCUGAGGAGCGAAAGCGUGGGGAGCGAACAGG
rnacentral:rRNA from 1 species